rnacentral:rRNA from 1 species
GGUGAGUAACACGUGGGUGAUCUGCCCUGCACUCUGGGAUAAGCCUGGGAAACUGGGUCUAAUACCGGAUAGGACCAUGCUUUAGUGUGUGUGGUGGAAAGUUUUUCGGUGUAGGAUGAGCCCGCGGCCUAUCAGCUUGUUGGUGGGGUAAUGGCCUACCAAGGCGGCGACGGGUAGCCGGACUGAGAGGGUGUACGGCCACAUUGGGACUGAGAUACGGCCCAG